rnacentral:rRNA from 1 species
CGGCCGUAACUAUAACGGUCCUAAGGUAGCGAAAUUCCUUGUCGGGUAAGUUCCGACCCGCACGAAAGGCGUAACGAUUUGGGCACUGUCUCAACGAGAGACUCGGUGAAAUCAUAGUACCUGUGAAGAUGCAGGUUACCCGCGACAGGACGGAAAGACCCCGUGGAGCUUUACUGUAGCCUGAUAUUGAAAUUCGGCACAGCUUGUACAGGAUAGGUAGGAGCCUUUGAAACGUGAGCGCUAGCUUACGUGGAGGCGCUGGUGGGAUACUACCCUAGCUGUGUUGGCUUUCUAACCCGCACCACUUAUCGUGGUGGGAGACAGUGUCAGGCGGGCAGUUUGACUGGGGCGGUCGCCUCCUAAAAGGUAACGGAGGCGCUCAAAGGUUCCCUCAGAAUGGUUGGAAAUCAUUCAUAGAGUGUAAAGGCAUAAGGGAGCUUGACUGCGAGACCUACAAGUCGAGCAGGGUCGAAAGACGGACUUAGUGAUCCGGUGGUUCCGCAUGGAAGGGCCAUCGCUCAACGGAUAAAAGCUACCCCGGGGAUAACAGGCUUAUCUCCCCCAAGAGUUCACAUCGACGGGGAGGUUUGGCACCUCGAUGUCGGCUCAUCGCAUCCUGGGGCUGUAGUCGGUCCCAAGGGUUGGGCUGUUCGCCCAUUAAAGCGGUACGCGAGCUGGGUUCAGAACGUCGUGAGACAGUUCGGUCCCUAUCCGUCGUGGGCGUAGGAAAUUUGAGAGGAGCUGUCCUUAGUACGAGAGGACCGGGAUGGACAUACCUCUGGUGUACCAGUUGUCGUGCCAACGGCAUAGCUGGGUAGCUAUGUGUGGACGGGAUAAGUGCUGAAAGCAUCUAAGCAUGAAGCCCCCCUCAAGAUGAGAUUUCCCAACUUCGGUUAUAAGAUCCCUCAAAGAUGAUGAGGUUAAUAGGUUCGAGGUGGAAGCAUGGUGACAU